rnacentral:lncRNA from 1 species
GACUAUUAAAGAACUUAAUUUUGAUUUCAGACUUGCUUGAGGAAAGAGGUUACUUACAUGAGUUCUUUAGAUGAAUGAACCGAAGCUUAUGAGGAUAUUAAAUUGUUUGAAAGGGUUAAAAAAAAGGCUUAAUAGAAUAGUUUAGAAAUAAGAAUUUAAUAUUGAUGAUAAAGUAUUCUUGUACAAGUUUUGUACAUUUCUGAAACAGUCAUUGUUCCUGCAUUUCCAGAUUGCCGAAAUUACAGCAAACACACCUAUAACCACUACUACUUUAAUCUUGCUAGGGAACUCCAUCACCCAUCUACAAAAUUCGCUAACCGAACUCAAGUUCAUAUUAAUACCGAAAGUACAGUCUAGCACACCUCACACAUACCUAGCCAUGAAACAAUGCAGGAAUAGGUGAUCUUGUAUCUGAUCCCUGAAGAUAGUUAAUUAGUAGAGUACCAUUUUUCAGAAUUGGCUCGAACGAAUCUCGGCAAUUCCACCUGCAAAACUAGUCCCAUUUUGUAGCUGGAAAAGUUUGGUUGGAAAAGAAAAGAGAGGCCCCAUGCAGUUAGAUUCGUGGGGGUGGAUUAGUUAGGGAUGGAAGGUUUCGUAGCUUCUCGUAUCAAACCUGUAGGUGUACAAUUUUUGGUAGAUUAUCCCAUUCUAAUCUUUUUUUUUUGGAUAUUAUAUUCUAAAAUAAUCAUGUACUCCCUUUAUAAACUAAAAAUAUAUUUAAAUAAAUAAAAUAAUGAUCUAAAUGUUUUUAUAUUAGUUUACCGAGGUAGUACACCGUAUAAACCAUUGUGGAAAAAACUAGCAUCAGUUUCCUUGUUU